UACGGGGGGGGCAAGCGUUGUUCGGAAUUACUGGGCGUAAAGGGCUCGUAGGCGGCCAACUAAGUCAGACGUGAAAUCCCUAGGCUCAACCUAGGAACUGCGUCUGAUACUGGAUGGCUUGAAUCCGGGAGAGGGAUGCAGAAUUCCAGGUGUAGCGGUGAAAUGCGUAGAUAUCUGGAGGAAUACCGGUGGCGAAGGUGGCAUCCCGGACCGGCAUUGACGCUGAGGAGCGAAAGCCAGGGGAGCAAACGGG
rnacentral:rRNA from 1 species